UACAGAGGGUGCAAGCGUUAAUCGGAAUUCCUGGGCGUAAAGCGUGCGUAGACGGUUGCGUAAGUCAGAUGUGAAAGCCCCGGGCUCAACCUGGGAAUUGCAUUUGAGACUGCGUAGCUAGGGUGCGGAAGAGGGAAGCGGAAUUUCCGGUGUAGCGGUGAAAUGCGUAGAGAUCGGGAGGAACACCAGAGGCGAAGGCGGCGAACUGGACAGGCACUGACACUCAACUACGAAAGCGUGGGGAGCAAACAGG
rnacentral:rRNA from 1 species